AGCCAUGGUUGCAUACCUUCCAAGCUCCACCGCCUCUUCUUCCUCGUGGGCAGAUCCCUGAUUUUGUGUAGGACAGCACUUGAAAUGUAUUUGUGUGCUCAACAUUGGUUUCCUCUCUGGAACCUGGGAUCACUUCAGGGGUGGACACGUGGCCCAACCAUGACUGAUGAGACAUGCGGGGAAAUCUGCAGAGGCAACUUCUAGGAAAGGUUGGGCUCUUGCAGCCACCCUGUGACUAUGAGCAUUCUGACCACAAUGCCAGAAGACAAUACGGAAUUACUCAGUACAUGAAGCACCAGGAAGAUGACAACAGAAGAGAGAGGACCCAGACAUUGGAAUCAGCAGGUUCAAAGGAUUCUCCUGCCUCAGCCUCCUGAGUACCUGGGAUUACAGGCAUGCACCACUAUGCCCGGCUAAUUUUUGUAUUUUUUAUAGAGUUGGGGUUUCGCCAUGUUGACCAGGCUGGUUUUGAACUCCUGGCCUCAAGCAAUUCACUGGCCUUGGCAUCCCAAAGUACUGGAAUUACACCUGGCUAAGCCUCUUCUAUUUAAAAAUAGAAAUAAAAGAAAAAAAAAACAGAUCAAAACCAAAAGUUAUAGUGAGAGUGGACAAGCCCUGGACAACAGCAGGCAUGAGGACUUACAGCCCACAUGCUCAGCCACCAGGUGCAAUCUCCAACAUGUGCGGGCUUUGGGAAAACACAAUCGGGCAAGUGAAGUUUGUUGCAGACAAGUUCUUCUUCCCCUCUGCCACAACCUCCUCCAAGGUAAGGACGUGUUCAGCUUGUCUAUCAGCUUAAACAGGGAGAGUAAAGGGAGAAAGGCCAGGGGAAAAUAUAGAAAUCAGUGAUCCCAGAGUGAUCGUGACAGAAGACAAGCAGAACAGACUCGAGGGGGAGAUGUGGUAGUUUGUUUACAUGGCAUGAUUCAAGGGUCCCUGCUAGGAGAUUUUAUAGUUUAGAAUCAUUCAGAGUGCCAUUCUGCCUAAGAUGUUCAGCAUUAGAACAUACUUUGUCUCCAGGAAAUAGCUCUUACCUCAAGGCACUGUUUGUCAUCACCACCAUGUGGGCCCAUGACCAAAGAGGAAGAAAUCUGUCGUGGCAGACACUGGAGGAGGUGGAAUUCUUGGCCAGGCUGUGUGGGUGUGGACUUUGCUCUAAGGGAGUGUGCCCGUUAGAACUGGGCAGUGUCCAGAGACAGCACCUUGAAGACCCACGUUCUUGGUGUGAAGAAGAAAGUGUUCCAGUGUCUGGGGGUUCAGAGGAGAAUGCUGCCACUCACAAAUUGCACAGCUUCUGAGCAGCCCAGACGUGGGGCUGGGGACAUUAUCCCCAAGUGUUUUUCAUUUCAGGUGGCUUUUCCUGAGUUCAGCUAUUCCUUUCCCAUCCUUUUCUUCACAGGCCAGGAAGGAAAUUUUUAAAUGAUUUAUUCGGGACCCUAAGGUCUCUAGGUUACUUGAGUUUUUCUCUUUUUAGUCUUGAAUUUCUAUUUCUCUAAAAAUUAUAUAUACCUCUUUUAAACGAUAGUCCUAGUGUUAUUUUUAUUUGAGAAAUUGGAGAUUAUAUAUAUGCACACAUAUACAUAUGUGUAUAUAUGUACAUAUAUAGGUAUAUAUUGUAUGUCUAUGUAUAUACACACGUGCAUAUAUACAUAUACAUAUGUGUAUAUAUACAUAUAUAUAUCUACAUAUACAUAUACAUAUACACAUAUACACACAUGUGUAUAUAUACAUAUAUGUAUACAUAUACACAUAUACACACAUGUGUAUAUAUACAUAUAUGUAUACAUAUACACAUAUACACACAUGUGUAUAUAUACAUAUAUGUAU
rnacentral:lncRNA from 1 species